AGGACGAACGCUGGCGGCGUGCUUAACACAUGCAAGUCGAGCGGUAAGGCUCCUUCGGGAGUACACGAGCGGUGAACGGGUGAGUAACACGUGAGCAAUCUGCCCUUCUCUUCGGAAUAACCAUUGGAAACGAUGGCUAAUGCCGAAUACGACCUCCUUUCGCAUGAUCGGAGGUGGAAAGCUCCGGCGGAGAAGGAUGAGCUCGCGGCCUAUCAGCUAGUUGGCGGGGUAACGGCCCACCAAGGCGACGACGGGUAGCCGGCCUGAGAGGGUGACCGGCCACACUGGGACUGAGACACGGCCCAGACUCCUACGGGAGGCAGCAGUGGGGAAUAUUGGACAAUGGGCGAAAGCCUGAUCCAGCAACGCCGCGUGAGGAUGAC
rnacentral:rRNA from 1 species